CCCCUUCUACAGCUCAUGCUGGAUGUGGAAGAAGACAGACUCGCCUCCGCGGGCCGAGGGCCUGUGAUUGUCCACUGCAGUCUGUCUCAAAACUGGUUAACUUCCUGAUAUUUGACUCUUGACCAGGAUGAUACUUAACAGAAAUGAAGUGACGUUAACAGUGUAUUUUCAGCAAACAAUCCCACAGGGGAGCACAUAUCACUUCUAAUUAACAGCUCAGGAAACAGGAGACCUUGUUCUUUCAGUUCUCUGCCUUGACACAUAGCUUGAUUCAUUUCACCUCAUUCGUCUCAUACGUGAUAGGAAUGAUACAUGUUUUUUUGAAAUUAUCAAUAGCUUUUUUGUUGUUUCAAGAUGCACCUGAACUUUUCUCAGAUUGUGUCCUGAUAGCAUUUAUUAUUAGGUCAAAUUUGGUGAAAACCAGACAACUAGUCUCAAAGUUACCUCAUGAAAAACAGAUGGAAAUAAAUUUAUGAACUGGGAAGUGGGCAACUGGUAAUUCGCCAAGAGGAAAACAAAGUGCUAGUACUGGAACGCAGGGUACUGGCUGACAAAAGUGACAGAUGUCCGUGGUGGCUCCCUUCCCUAAUGUCUAGCUUAAGGUGUCCCCUGUAACGUACACCUCUUCCUUGUUUUCCUGUUAGUGUGCCCAACCUAAAGCACAUAUUUUAAAGUUAUUUCUACAACUGGACAUUAAUUUUCCAUACUUUCUCAAAAUUGUUUGUUAUUUUACUUAACUUCCUAAGUCUUGUAAGAUAGCUUUGGAUGAUAUUUUUAAUAAAAAAGUCAUUAUUUUAUAUUACAAUUUUAGCUUUCUUUUGAACCUUUAUGAUUUAAGAGUAAAAUUUAUUCUAUGUCUCUCUCCAAGGUGUCAUUAUCUAGUUUUGAACGUUAGGCCUUACCCUACACUUAGCUUGGGGCUGAAGAAAAAUACUUAAUUGGCCAUACUUUAGGGCUAAAACUGUCCCCCACCCCAAAUCAUAAAACAGUCAGGAUAUCUAAAAUGAACUAACCAUUUCCCCCAUAAAACCAGCUCCCCUUCUGAUUGCUAUUUCUAAGAAUGAGACCAUCUUUUUUUCCAGGCAUUCAGUUAUCUUUGGCCCUUCUCUCAACUCCAGAGUCGGUAUCUAAUCAGUCACCAGAUUGGCUUUCCCUUCAAAGCUUCUCCCAUAAUCCUCACUUCCUGCCCCACCACCCAAGUUCAGGCCCUUAUGACCUCAUCCAUGUAUUUUAGAAGUAGUCGGCUAAUUGCACAUACACACCCUGCUUCCCCACCUCCACCUCCACUAUGGCCUACUCUGUGCACUCCUCUUAGAUGAUGUUCCUAAAACCCUCUUUCAUCACCUGCACUCUCUGCUCAAAACUUCUCAAAGGCUUCCCAUUGCCUAGAGCAGAAAUUCUUAACCUUGGAUCUGUGGACUAGCUACAGGGCCAGUGACCUCCUAGAAAUGACUUGAACAGAUUUGGGUCCAUUAAAUUAGGUGAGUUUCCUGGUGAGUGAAAACUCAUUGUUUCCAUCAAAUGCUCAAAAAAUAGGAAUUCCCUUCGUGGCUCAGGGGUUAAAUGAACCUGACUAGGAUCCAUGAGGAUGCAGGUUCAAUCCCUGGCCUCGCUCAGUGGAUUAAGGACCCAGCUUUGCCGGGAGCUGUGGCGUAGGUCACAGACACAGCUCGGUCCCAUGUUGCUGUGGCUGUGGCGUAGGCCAGCAGCUGCA
rnacentral:lncRNA from 9 species